rnacentral:tRNA from 3 species
GCGGAUGUGGCGGAACUGGUAGACGCGCUGGAUUUAGGUUCCAGUGCCGCAAGGCGUGGAGGUUCGAGUCCUCUCAUCCGCACCA